rnacentral:rRNA from 1 species
CUACAUUAAAUUAAAAUUAUAAUAAUUAUUUAAUAUUUAAAUAAAAUUGAAAUUUAGUUUUUGAUUAAUUUUAAUAAUGAAAUUUAUAUACAAUUUUAUUUAAUUAAAUUUAAAUUAUAAAAUAUAAAGUUAAAAAAUAAUUAAUGUUAAAUUUAGUAAUUAUUGUAUUUUAAAAUAAUUUUGUGCCAGCAUUUGCGGUUAAACAGAGUAAAAAAGUUAAUUUAUUAAAUUUUUAUUAAUUUAUUUAAAUUUUUAAUAAAUUUUAAUUUUUUGAAGUGAAAUUUUAAAAAUUAAUUAGUUUAAAAAUUUUAUAGGUAAUUAGCUAAGUUAAAUAAUAAAAUAGGAUUAGAUACCCUAGUAUUUUAAUUAAAUAAAGUUAUUAGAGAAUUAAAUGAUAAAUCAUUAAAUUAAAAAAUUUUGGCAGUAUUUUUUAUAAUUAGAGGAAUUUGUUUAUAAAUUGAUGAUCCACGAUAGGAGAAACUUAAUUAAUUUUAUUUAUAUUUGUAUAUUUUCGUUUGAAAUUUAUUUUAGAAGAAUGAAGUUAAAAAUUAUUAUUUAAAUUUAAUAAUAAUUCAGAUCACUAUAUAGUUUAAAUUAAGAUUAGAUGAAUUACUAAGAAUAAGAUUGAAUAUUGGAUAUUUAUAUUAAUGUAAAAUUGAAAAAGGAUUUAAAAGUAAUUUUUAAAAAUAAUUAAUAAUGAAUUUAAUAAAAAUGUGUACAAAUUGCCCGUCAUUCUAUAUUUUUAUAGACAAGUCGUAACAAGGUAAAUUUAUUGGAAAAUGAAU